GUGGAUCGAUGGAAGAGGCGCGAGCAGGCGCCGCUCGCUCUGCGUUUUGCCCUUUCGCUGACUGGUCAAAGGAGGUGGCAACGGUACAAAAGUGUUGCGUGUGCUUCUGUUCCUACACCUUUCUCCUACCUUGCAAUGAGACAACACGCCGCCAAGGCUGUUUAACACGAUACGCCGGCUUAACGCAGGCCUAGCACCCAGUGCUGACUUCCCGAUACGUAUGUGCAGUUCACGUUUAAGCUGCUUGAACAACCGUCCCCAUCAUUCCAGAGGGGCCCCCAGCCCUCAUAGCAGAUCCACUGGGAAGGGGGGAUGAACCAACAAAACUCAACUUCCACCAGUGUGCUUUCCCCCCUAGAUCAAACUUUCCCAUGAACGCAAUCGUGAGUUGCUUAUAUUGGACCCAAACCGCUGACCUGGUUUUGCAUGGGUAAAGUAGCCAUGGUAAAGUGCCAUGCGUGCUGGGUGGGAUUUUGCAGCCACAGCUUAUCGUGACACUGGGUUUAUUCAAGGGUAGUUCAACCUUCACAUAACGCAUGGUCCCCAGGGUCAUACAAUAUUGUCUGCCAAGCAGCCCACUGUGGAUUAUGGGAUGUUCAAAUAUAUGAACUGCCUGUAUACCUCUGCUUAAGAAUAAACCUUUAAAAAACCA